GCCCCGAAGCAUUCGCCGAAAUGCAAAUUCGGACAGGCACCCAAUUCGUGCCGGGGCUU
rnacentral:tRNA from 1 species